rnacentral:rRNA from 1 species
CGGACGGGUGAGUAACGCGUGGGUAACCUGCCUUAUACAGGGGGGAUAACAGUUAGAAAUGACUGCUAAUACCGCAUAAGCGCACAGGAUUGCAUGAUCUGGUGUGAAAAACUCCGGUGGUAUAAGAUGGACCCGCGUCUGAUUAGCUGGUUGGUGAGGUAACGGCCCACCAAGGCGACGAUCAGUAGCCGACCUGAGAGGGUGACCGGCCACAUUGGGACUGAGACACGGCCCAAACUCCUACGGGAGGCAGCAGUGGGGAAUAUUGCACAAGUGGGGGAAACCCUGAUGCAGCGACGCCGCGUGAGCGAAGAAGUUAUUUCGGUAUGUAAAGCUCUAUCAGCGAGGGAAGAAAAAAUGACGGUACCUGACUAAGAAGCCCCGGCUAACUACGUG